GACGAACGCUGGCGGCGUGCUUAACACAUGCAAGUCGAACGGAAAGGCCCUGCUUUUGUGGGGUGCUCGAGUGGCGAACGGGUGAGUAACACGUGAGUAACCUGCCCUUGACUUUGGGAUAACUUCAGGAAACUGGGGCUAAUACCGGAUAGGAGCUCCUGCUGCAUGGUGGGGGUUGGAAAGUUUCGGCGGUUGGGGAUGGACUCGCGGCUUAUCGGCUUGUUGGUGGGGUAGUGGCUUACCAAGGCUUUGACGGGUAGCCGGCCUGAGAGGGUGACCGGCCACAUUGGGACUGAGAUACGGCCCAGACUCCUACGGGAGGCAGCAGUGGGGAAUAUUGCACAAUGGGCGGAAGCCUGAUGCAGCAACGCCGCGUGCGGGAUGACGGCCUUCGGGUUGUAAACCGCUUUCGCCUGUGACGAAGCGUGAGUGACGGUAAUGGGUAAAGAAGCACCGGCUGACUACGUG
rnacentral:rRNA from 1 species